ACGAACGCUGGCGGCGUGCUUCAUACAUGCAAGUCGAACGGGAUCCAUGCAGUGGCAACACUGCGGAAGAUCUAGUGGCGAACGGGUGAGUAACACGUGAGGAACCUAUCCCGGUCUCUGGAAUAACAAGUGGAAACACUUGCUAAUACCGGAUGCCGUCAUCACCUCUCCUGGGGAGAUGACGAAAGAUUUAUCGGAUCGGGCGGGCCUCGCGGCCUAUCAGCUAGUUGGUGGGGUAACGGCCUACCAAGGCAUCGACGGGUAGCUGGUCUGAGAGGAUGAUCAGCCACACUGGGACUGAGACACGGCCCAGACUCCUACGGGAGGCAGCAGUAGGGAAUCUUGCGCAAUGGGCGAAAGCCUGACGCAGCAACGCCGCGUGCGGGAAGAAGGCUCUCGGGUUGUAAACCGCUUUCAGUAGGAACGAAUUUGACGGUACCUGCAGAAGAAGGUGCGGCCAACUACGU
rnacentral:rRNA from 1 species